AAGGCCACGUCGAGCCAACGACUUUAAACAAAAGCGCUCUUGGGAGGUAACCCAAGUUAUAUAUCCUUUUUCAUAUCCUUUAAGUAGUUUUUACAAUUUUUUGAAUAAUUUUAGUUUAUUUGAGUUUUGAUUAGUUCAUGCACUUGUAUGAAGUUUAUGCCUUAUUGAUACACUUUUAGACUUAACUUCAUGGUUUAUGUGCAUGCUAGGAUAGGUAUUUAGUCGUAGUAGGUUUAGUUGCAUUUUUAGAAAUUCAUGCAUUUCAUGUAGGUUGAUUUCCUUUUCUUUUUAUGAAGUUUUAAGUAUUAAGUUUCAAGCAUGCAUUGCAUAUUAGGACAUUCAUAUAAUUAAUUUAGUUAGAAAAAAAUUUUAUCUUCAAAAAAAAAAAAAAAAACCAUCUUAGUAGCGGCUAAAAAUGUUUAGCCGCUGUUAAGUGCAAAAAAAAACUGGGCUGUGAAGUUUUAUUUAGCCGCUGCUAAACUUUUAGCAGCAGCUAAAACCCUUCAAACGGGUUUAUAACCCAUUUCCAAUCCUCUUCAUUUCCAGUUUUGCAACAACACACAAACACACGUUUCUCCCUCCAUUUAACUUCAUUUCUCUUCAAAUUUUUUGCUUCAAUUCAUCAUCCAAUUGGUCCACAAGCUUUUCAAACAUCAUUCAAUAUCAUUCCAUAGCAUUCGACGGAUCAAAAUUGUGACUCAAGGCAAAGGAUAACAUAUCAUGGUGAGCAAAGGAAGUGAAAGCCACCAAAAGAAAGCAAAUGGAGCCCAAGCAUGAUCCGAGUUUGCUAGUCAUCAAUGAAGGGAGGUUUAUUUUUGGUUAUGAAUAAUUUUGAAUUGCACAUUGUGAUAUUUAACGAUGAUGGAUUGAAUAAGUUCAGUUUUUAUUUUAUUUUCAUUUUUGGAUUUGUAUUUUACAUGUUUUAGUAGGUUCAUUGUGUGUUUUUAUGAAUAAUUAUGGAAUUGAUAGUCCUUGUGGAUAUGUACUUUGAUAAAUUACUUUGCUAUGCACCAUUGAUAUUUUGAGAAAUUUAGCAUGGAAUUAUGAAUCAUGAGUAUUUUUUAGACUUUGUGCUUCCAAGCUUCAUGAUUCUAUAAUUUGAUUAGUAAUGCUAAAAUAUAGUGUGCUUUAACUCCUUGUUCUUCCAUGGCAUACUUCAAGUUUGGGGGGGGGGGAGUGUAGAACACUAGGAACUCAAAUGUGGGGUGCACUUUCAUUGCAUCAAAGUGCAUAUUCUAGACUAUAUUCCAUAGGUGUCUUUUAUGCAUGAUAAUUCUAAGAAUGCUUCACAAGUUGUGUGUGAAUGUUUCAAUCAUUCAUAAUUCCCUCAUGAGCAUAAAAUGUGAUUUAAGUUUAGGGGAUUAGUACUCUAUAGUGAAACGGUAAUACACAAUACAUUCGAAAUGCAUAAAAGAUCCACAAAAAAAAAAACCGAAAAAAAAAUGAAAAUUUGAGUUUUAGUUUAGUCUAAUAAGGUGAAAUUGUUCUACUUAUAGUUAGACCUUCUUUUUGUGAAAUAUUCUCUCAUAAAUGUAGGAAGUUCAUACAUUUUAAAUGCUAAAAAUGUGACUUCUCUCCUUUGUGCUUCAUGAUUUAUAAGCAUUGAGGACAAUGCUUCACUUAAGUUUGGGGGGAAGGAUAUCGUUUGUCUAAAAAUGUGUUAACAUUUUUCACAAUUUUCAGAGCAUUUUUUGAGAAUAUUGCACUAAAUUGAGUAAAAAGAAGGUUUUGACUUUAAGAAUACAUAUUUUUCAUCAUCUUUUGCUUUCUUUAAAUGAGUACCAUGAAAAUGUGAACAUGUGCAUGACUUUAAGAAACUUUUUACUGCCCAAAUGCAUAAGUGGAAUGUAGACAUUUUGGUACAUAAGUGGUGUUUACAUGUUGAUAUAUUUUAAAGGCUGAGAAACUAGACACACUUUACCCAAUGUAUACACUUUGAUGGAAAAUUUUCUCUAUUAAAUACUGUAGUUUAUAUGCACAAAUAUAGAGGAAUGUUCUCUAUUAAAUACUGUAGUUUAUAUGCACGAGUUGGCCAGUUUUGAAGCAAAGUAGUGUACUUAGAGUGUGGUAAACUUCAAAAAAAUUAUUUUUGUCUAAUAUUGAAAAAUGAUUGAGGCCAAGAAUUAAAGGUUCUUGUUUACUUUCUUGUCUUGAGUGAUUGAAAUUGCUACUCUGCUAUGAGACUGCUCGAAAGAGAACUUGUAUGAGUGGCAAGAGUAUAAAAAGCCCAAAAACUCGGGCAAAAUACAGAAAAAAGUUAAAAAGGCAAGAAUUAAAUGAACCUUAUGUGAGAGAGUACCCUAGAGUGCUGUGAUGCUAGAGUACCCUAAAAGGGUUGAUGAUUGACAGUCUAGGGGAAAGAGCGAACAAUUAAAGACCUCAUGAUUUCACAUUGAUUUGUAUUGUAUAAGUUUAAAAAUGUGAAGUUUAGUAUGUUCUAAGUGCAUGAAACGGGGAUUUACUCAUCCAGUUGUGUAUUUCUCUGCUCAAAGAUAAUUUUCUCUAUAUUCAAACACACUACACAUAGUAUUUAAUAAAGAAAUAUAAGUACAUAGAGUUUAUAAAUUGUGUAAAAGUGUGUUGGGGAGUAUUAAACGAUGAAAUUUCAGCCGUGGAAGCUAGCUUAUGUCCAACAUGUCUUUACAAUUCUACAUUUGCACGAGUUCAGUAAAAUGGGGCAACAUGAAAUGCACAUUGUAGCCAAUGCUUGGUAGCAUUUAAAGGAUUCGAAUAAAAUUGUUAUGAAAUGUUUUAGUUGUUUUUCAAGAUGUUUAAAUAGCAUAGUAUUUAUUUUGUUUACAUUUUAAAGUUCUUGAGUGUUGGUGAAUAUAUUGCUUGGGGACAAGCAAUGGUUCAAGUUUGGGGGUAUUUGAUGAGAGUCAAAUAUACCUAAAUUUAGCAUGUGUUUUGUUAGUAUUUCCAUAGGUUUUCAGUAGAUUUUUAGGUUUAAGGUUAGAAUGUGGCGAAUAAAGCUUAUAAUCAUGCACCGUUUUGAAUACUUUUAUGAAUAUUGUGCAUGAUAGGGCAUUUUGAGUAUUCAUGACUAAUAUUCAUCUUUUUGGCUUGAUUUGAGGUCAAUUAGGCAGGAAAAUUGGUGAAGAAAAUGAGUUAAAGGCUUCAACCGAAAGCUGGCCGCAUUAUGAUGGACAUCCUAGCUUCCAACACCCAUAACUCUCUGUACAAAACUCCAAAUUUUCUGAUUCAAGAUGUUAUGGAAAGCUUAAAGGAAGAGCUACAACUUUGGUGAAGAAGUCGAGGAAAAAGUAUGCACGGAAGACCCUCAAAAUGGAGCCGGAAGAUGAAGACAAAAUGCUGAGAAAUCAUCUUUAGCCGCGGCUAAAAUCUUAGCCGCGGCUAAAGUGCUUUUUGCGCAACUUUCUUUAGCCGCGGCUAAAGCACGGGUUCCAGAAAAAAUUUAUAUUUUUCAUUUUUAGUAGGGUUUUUUGAGUGGGGUUUUUUUUACUAAUUUACCCUCAAGAAAUUGGGAGUAUAAAUGCUCCAUUUUCUUGCAAGAACAAAGAAGGAGGACUUAGAAUAAAAUUAGGGCUUAGCUUAGUGCCUUCCUCCCUUAGUUCUUAGCAUUUAAUACAUGCUUUAAUGCUUUCUUUAUGUUCUUGUCAGAUGUUUAUGAGUAUUUAUUGUUGAUUCUAUAAGUAGUACCUUUUAUUUAUUGCUA